rnacentral:lncRNA from 1 species
CGUGCUGCCGAGGCCGACGAUGAGCGUCUUGGGCGCGAUCUCGUAGCAAAACUGCGGCGUCUCCUUCCCCAUGUGUUCCAAGUACGCCGCGAGGUUAGCCUUGUCCGUGGAGAACUCGUCGAUCCCCUCGAGGUCGUGGUUCCCCCCCACGAUGUCGUACUUGUGCCCGAACCCGUCGAGGUACGCGCGCACAGUCUUGAAGCACUCCGUCGUCCCCGCGUAGAGCUGCUUGGACUCGGUGCAAUCUUUGGGCCAUUCCACACGAGCGAACGUCGGGGUGGAGUUCAAAGGCGUCAGAAGCGGAGUUGAAAGGCAACGCGGGCGGGUAUUGAAAGCGAGGUGUGGGCGGAGAGAGACGCCGGCAAAAGUCCUUAAGGAUCGGCGUUCACCACGCC